rnacentral:tRNA from 1 species
GCCUAGUUAGCUUGGUUGGUAGCGCGUCAGCCUUGUAAGCGCUAGGUCGCGGGUUCGAUUCCCGCCCGGGGUG